rnacentral:rRNA from 1 species
GACAUACUAAGAACUUUCCAGGAGAUGGAUUGGUGCCUUCGGGAACUUAGAUACAGGUGCUGCAUGGCUGUCGUCAGCUCGUGUCGUGAGAUGUUGGGUUAAGUCCCGCAACGAGCGCAACCCUUUUCCUUAUUUGCCAGCGGGUCAUGCCGGGAACUUUAAGGAUACUGCCAGUGACAAACUGGAGGAAGGCGGGGACGACGUCAAGUCAUCAUGGCCCUUACGGCCAGGGCUACACACGUGCUACAAUGGUCGGUACAAAGGGUUGCUACCUCGCGAGAGGAUGCUAAUCUCAAAAAGCCGAUCGUAGUCCGGAUCGCAGUCUGCAACUCGACUGCGUGAAGUCGGAAUCGCUAGUAAUCGCGGAUCAGAAUGCCGCGGUGAAUACGUUCCCGGGCCUUGUACACACCGCCCGUCACACCAUGGGAGUUUGUUGCACCAGAAGUAGGUAGUCUAACCGCAAGGAGGACGCUUACCACGGUGUGGCCGAUGACUGGGGUGAAGUCGUAACAAGGUAAGCGUAGAUGA